UCAGCCUCCAAGAUGGCCCCUGAUGACUCCCUCCUUCCUGGUAUGCAUGCUGGGGAGAAGUCAGCUGCCAUGUCAUGAAGACGCUCGAGUAGCCCUAUGAGAUUCCCAUGUGAACAGAAAUUGAGUCCUCCUGCCAACAAUCAGCCAUAAUUUGCAAGACACGUACAUGAGCUACCUUAGAAGAGAAUCCCUGGGCCCCAGAUAAGCCUUCAGUUUCUCAAGGAUCCCAUGGGGAUUGGACAUGAUGGUGUUUAAGGGCCUCUAACGAUCCCUGCCUUGGAUAUGUGUAGUCCCCUCCCACACUGCAUCAGGAUUGGUCUGUGAAUACGGCAGAAAUGAUGGGGAAGCCAGAUGCUGUGUUGUGAGGACAGUCAGGCAGCCCCAUGGAGAGGCCCAUGUGGCAAGGCAUUGAGGACUUCUGCCAAUAGCCAUAUGAAUGACCAUCUUGGAAGUAGGUGCUCCAGCCCUGGAUAAACCUUCAGAUGACUGCAGCCCCUGCUCAGAGCUUGACUGCAACCCCAUCAGAGACCCUGAGCCUGAGACACUCAGCUAAGUCACUCGGAGGUUCCUAACCUACAGAAACUGUGUGAAAUAAUAAAUGUUUAUUGUUUUAAGCCGCCAAGGUUUUGGGGUAAUUUGUGAUGGAGUAACAGAUAACUAAUACAAAGACCCUUUCAAAAGUGAGAUUAAUUGAUUCUCUGAUUCUCAUACCACACUGGUAAUAGCUGCCAUGUGAAAUAUUCUUACUGGAAGCCAUGGGAAGUUUUAAAUCUCUCCAGAUUCCUGCACAUUGCUUGCAUUAAU
rnacentral:lncRNA from 1 species